UCCCAAGCAGGCUCCAUCCAUCCUGUCAGCACGGAGCCCAGUGAGGGGCUUGAACCCACAAACCAUGAGAUUGUGACCUGAGCCAAAAACCAGAGUCGGACACUUAACCGACUGAGGCACCCUGGCACCCAAUUUUAGAUUUUGAUCCAUAUACCACAGUUACGGGAGACGUUAACGCUAGCGGGGGCUGGGUGGAGGGCAUAUGGGGACUCUCUGCAUCAUGUUUGCAACGCUUCCAUGAAUCGAAAAUUAUUUAAAAAUAAAAAGCUAAAAAAAGAGGCAAAAGAGGCAAAAAGAGGAAACAGAACACAUGGACUCGGAUCUGGCUCCUCUUGCUUCCUGGCUGCUUGACUUUGGACAUCUGACACAAGUCUCUGAGCCUCAGUUUCCCCAUUUGGAAGACAAGGCGAAUUACAGUGCCUACCUCACGGGCGGCCGGAAGGGUUAAAUGAGAUGACCACCAGAGGCACACCCAGAAAGCGCCUGGCAAGGCGGGAAGCGAUCAAUAGCGUUCAGCUACGAUUAUUGUUAUUGAGGAAGAAGGAAGUCCAACUUCUAAAAGCUGGUUUUCUCAGCCUUCUGGAAGGGAUCCUUGAAUUAUUCAACCUGCAGUACAGAUCUCUGGAGAACAUCGCCUCGCGGCUACUUUAAUCACUAGAAAGGUUCAGAGUCAGUUAUAAUCAAGCCUGAGUCAACGUGGAAAUGCUCAUCUCUGGCUUGCAAACAAGAUCAAAAGGAAGACCGAGGAGGAGAUAAAAUCUGAGAGGAGAAAUGGAUAGUGGUUUCCAGAGGCUCUUAGGUCCUUCUGUUUCCAAAGGGGGGUCGCAGACCAGAAGCCCCAGCCCCUGCAGGGCACUGUCCUGCAUAUUUCCUCUGACCUUCUGUAAGCUCACGGACAAGUCUGUUUCAGCUCUGUGCCGAAUCCGGGGCAAACUGACCAACGAUGGGACUUCUGUCUGAUGGAGGUUUGGGCGGGGAGGGAGGGGGAGCUGUUACCUUUUCAGAACGUGUCACCAGGGGGAGGGGGAGCUGCGGAUGUGGGCAGGGCUGUUUCUAUUGGAUGCUAACGUGGGGUUAGGCACCAUCAGGCAAGGACUGAGGUAGAGAGAGUGUAGACUGGCCGGAGGCCGUCUGCAGGCACUGUCAAGGUGGGAAAGUGUCCUUGGGGAGGCGGGAGUGGGCCCAUUAGCUUUGUGUCAGGGAAAGGGCGAUUCUGUCCUCAUAUGGCAAUCCUGUCUGAGUCCUGGUCUGCAAGUAGAAACCAGGAGGUGUUUUUAGGGUCCAGCAUGGGCCGUCUAUGUCAGGCCGUGUGGCACAAAAGGGUGGGGGCUUCAGAGAACAGGGAGCAGCCUUGCUGUGUUGAAGGUCCAGGCUGUCUCACUGAUGACCUGACGGCGACAGGGCCACCACCUGCAGCAGUGAUGGAGCCCUAAGGCACCGGGGUGGGGGUCCCCUCUCCCCUGACUGCCCGUGACAGUCCUCCCCGAGGAUGGGUCAGCACUGACGGCCAGAAACGGUGCCCCUCCCCCUCCCCCCCAAGGGAAGAAGGAUGCUUAUUGUCUAAGUUAAGGAUCUCAGGAGGCCACAUCUAGGGUUUGUGAGUGUGUUCCUUCUUCUCUUUUCCAUUCCUGCAGGAGACAGGAUGGAGCACUGGUUAGGGCUUCUCCAGAAUGGGAGAAGGUCCAGUUCUCUGCCUGGGUCUCUCUCCCACCUUCCUCAGCUGUGCAGACCUAAUAAGGUUUUGUGCGGGUGUAGCCAGCUCGCCCUGGGGCCGGCUUUGUCUCUCUUACUGUCUCUUACUCUCUCUUUCUGCCUGUCUCCCUGCUGUUUUUCUCUGGCCCUUGGUGGCAGGGAUAGGGUGGGACUGGAGCCCGUCUUGCCUCGGGGCCCUGAGAUCUGAGAUUAGGCUGGGGAAGCGGGUGGCUCAGCCUGGUUUAGGAAAAGGACUUCUCCCGGGCCAGGAACCACCAUGGUUCCUUGGUGGGCUCUUUUCCCUAAGGACCUCUUAGGAGGAGGGUGGUGGCUGGGCCAGGGCAGGAUCCGGAAAUUCUGGGACUGGUCCAGGUGCGAUCCUAGCAGUUCAGUCUCCUAGCUUUCUGGCCACGCAGCCCCAACCCGGUGGCGGUAAAGGGUGCUCGAGGCCCUGGCCUCUAUACUGUUGCCCUCCACGGUGGGUCCUGGCUGCCACGGCAGGACUGUGGCUUGAAAGGUGUAUUUGUGGGUACAUGUGAGUCACCCAAGGGGUGCCUGGGCUGCCUGAGUCAAAUCUCAGCUCUGUCACUGACCAGCGAUAUAAGCUCGCCCUCUUCGUGCCUCAGUUUCUUCAGCUGUAAAAUGGAUAGAAGGUUGUGGUAAGGGUUAACUAAGCUAAUGCAUGCAAAGCACUUGGCGCAGUGCCUGGCUCCUAGAAAACACUCAGCAAACAGCUCUUCAUGCUCAAUUGUGUCUCUGUGUCCUCUUAGAGAUGAGAAGUCCUGCCAUAGCAGAUGGGGCCACAGGAACGGAGCUUGUUGCUGUAAUCGUAAACUCCUUUGUGCCCUACAGGCUUAGGGGGUCUAGGGAAUGCCGGUUAAUUUUUUUUUUUCUUUUGUGGCGUAGUGAAGCCAUGCAAAUGGAUGGGACUCGCCUUCAGCAUUCCCCCUAUUCCAGUGGAAUCAGCAAAAAGCCGAUUACAAUCCUAUUAUGAACAGGCACUGUGCAAAUAAAAAAAUGAACAAUA